AUAAUUUAGAGUGAUGAAUUUUUCAGCAGAAAGGGGUCUUGUGAAGCAGGCUGGUUCCUUUCUUGUGUGAAGCAUAUUAUUUUUAAUGAUCUAGGUUUUCCUUAAUUGUGGUAGCACAAAUCCCCUAAAAACUCACAACUCCUGCUGGAAACAACCGAUGAGCCGCUUGGGCUGCUAAUCCCCAUGGAGAGGUGUGAAGAUGUUUUUCAGGACAAAGUGACAUGAAAAAGGGUACAAACAGGAUGGGUGCAGGGCUUCAGCUGGGAACUAUUCCAAGUGCUCCUGCCCUGUCCUGGAGUCACACCUGCAGGUCAAACAGCCGCUUUUGAAGGAAAAUAACAAGGCUUAAGUUUGAAGAAGUCCAUGGAGUAAAGGAUUUGGUUGAUGGGGACCUGCCCACACCACAGCAUGCACAGGGGGUACCUCUUCCCAGCCCAGAUUUAGCUGCUUGUGCACAAAAUUCAGCACCACCUGCACCAGGACACAGCUCAGCCAGUUCCAGCCUUCCAGGAAACUUUCCCACUUUCCAGCUAAUCAGGUAUUCACUAAAACACCAGAGGG
rnacentral:lncRNA from 1 species